GGGUUGUAAACUUCUUUUAUAAAGGAAUAAAGUCGGGUAUGCAUACCCGUUUGCAUGUACUUUAUGAAUAAGGAUCGGCUAACUCCGUGCCAGCAGCCGCGGUAAUACGGAGGAUCCGAGCGUUAUCCGGAUUUAUUGGGUUUAAAGGGAGCGUAGAUGGAUGUUUAAGUCAGUUGUGUAAGUUUGCGGCUCAACCGUAAAAUUGCAGUUGAUACUGGAUGUCUUGAGUGCAGUUGAGGCAGGCGGAAUUCGUGGUGUAGCGGUGAAAUGCUUAGAUAUCACGAAGAACUCCGAUUGCGAAGGCAGCCUGCUAAGCUGCAACUGACAUUGAGGCUCGAAAGUGUGGGUAUCAAACAGGAUUAGAUACCCUGGUGGUCCACUCGGUAAA
rnacentral:rRNA from 1 species